rnacentral:rRNA from 1 species
CCUACGGGAGGCAGCAGUGAGGAAUAUUGGUCAAUGGACGAGAGUCUGAACCAGCCAAGUAGCAUGAAGGAUGACUGCCCUAUGGGUUGUAAACUUCUUUUAUAUGGGAAUAAAAUGUUCCACGUGUGGGAUUUUGUAUGUACCAUAUGAAUAAGGAUCGGCUAACUCCGUGCCAGCAGCCGCGGUAAUACGGAGGAUCCGAGCGUUAUCCGGAUUUAUUGGGUUUAAAGGGAGCGUAGGUGGAUUGUUAAGUCAGUUGUGAAAGUUUGCGGCUCAACCGUAAAAUUGCAGUUGAAACUGGCAGUCUUGAGUACAGUAGAGGUGGGCGGAAUUCGUGGUGUAGCGGUGAAAUGCUUAGAUAUCACGAAGAACUCCGAUUGCGAAGGCAGUUCACUGGACUGCAACUGACACUGAGGCUCGAAAGUGUGGGUAUCAAACAGGAUUAGAUACCCGUGUAGUC